AGAACAGGUCGGGCGGUCGCUGCUGGAACCUUCCCGAUUUCAGACUUGGAAGCUUUCAGGUCUGGGAUCAAUCUGAACGAAAUUUAGUAAAUCCAGUAGAGGAAAGUCCGAACACUAUAGGGCAGCGAGCCCGCUAACGGCGGGGCGUCUGAUAAAUCCCAGAUCCCAGGCAUCGCCUCCAGCUUUCAAGGGACAGGAGUCGAAACCUGCGAUCUGGGAUUAAUCGGACGACGACAAGUGCAACAGAAAGUAGACCAGCCCUUCUGAGAUCAGAAAGGUGAUGGGUGAAAUGGUGCGGCCCGCAAGGGCUUAAAGUAAGAGCGCACCGGCGUAUGUGGUGACACGUACGGCCAGGCAAACUCCUCGCAGUGCAAGAUCAAAUAGGGAGGCGUCAACAGGGCUGCCCGCCCGAAUCCCGAUUUAUCGGGAUACGACCUCCGGGUAGAUCGCUUGAUCCAUCUGGCAACAGCUGGACUAGAUGAAUGAUCGCCAUUCCGAUGCGAAAGCAUCGGGAUACAGAAUUCGGCUUAUAGACCUGUUCUCCUU
rnacentral:RNase_P_RNA from 1 species